GGUCUGUUUAAUUAUGUAAGACUGAGGUUGAUAGGUAAUGUGGUCAAUUUGAUUGGCAGUUUAGGAGGUGGGGCAUUGUAAUUAAAGGUCCACCUUGUCUUUGAUUGUUUAGUGACAAUGACAGUUGUCAAUCAUACUAGUUGAAUCAAUACCCAGUUACCUAAUCAAAAUGUUUUUUUUAAAAAGCCUGCACAUCAACACACCUUAAUGACAUACAUUCUUGAAUGAAC
rnacentral:lncRNA from 1 species